rnacentral:rRNA from 1 species
UGAAUACGAGAUGCUACGGCGUCGAAGCAGUGUAUGUCAGACUUCCAAGAAAAGCUCGCAAUGUCAUAAAUAAAGAAUGCCUGUACCAUAACCGACACAGGUGGGUAGGUAGAGUAUACUAAGGGGCGCGAGAUAACUCUCUCUAAGGAACUCGGCAAAAUAACUCCGUAACUUCGGGAGAAGGAGUGCCUUCUUUAAGAAGGUUGCAAUAACAAGAUCCAAGCAACUGUUUAUCAAAAACACAGGUCUCCGCUAAGUCGUAAGACGGUGUAUGGGGGCUGACGCCUGCCCAGUGCCAGAAGGUUAAAGAAGCUGGUUAGCAAUAGCGAAGCUGGUGACUGAAGCCCUGGUGAACGGCGGCCGUAACUAUAACGGUCCUAAGGUAGCGAAAUUCCUUGUCGGGUAAGUUCCGACCCGCACGAAAGGCGUAAUGAUUUGGAUACUGUCUCGGAGAGGGACUCGGUGAAAUAGACUUGUCUGUGAAGAUGCGGACUACCUGCACCAGGACAGAAAGACCCUAUGAAGCUUUACUGUAACCUGAAAUUGAAAUUGGACUUUAUUUGCGCAGUAUAGGUGGGAGGCGUUGAAAGUAAUCUUGCGGGAUUAGUGGAGCCAUCAGUGAGAUACCACUCCUAUAAUGUUAGAUUUCUAACUUUGGAUCAUGAUCUGGUCAAAGAACAGUUUCAGGCGGGCAGUUUGACUGGGGCGGUCGCCUCCCAAAUGGUAACGGAGGCGUACAAAGGUUUCCUCUGAACGGGUAGAAAUCGUAUCUAGAGUGUAAAGGCAUAAGGAAGCUUGACUGUGAGACCUACAAGUCGAGCAGGGACGAAAGUCGGUCUUAGUGAUCUGACGGUGCUGAGUGGAAAGGCCGUCACUCAACGGAUAAAAGUUACUCUAGGGAUAACAGGCUGAUCUCCCCCAAGAGUUCACAUCGACGGGGAGGUUUGGCACCUUGAUGUCGGCUCAUCGCAUCCUGGGGCGGUAGUACGUCCCAAGGGUUGGGCUGUUCGCCCAUGAAAGCGGUACGCGAGCUGGGUUCAGAACGUCGUGAGACAGUUCGGUCCAUAUCCGGUGUAGGCGUUAGAAUAUUGAGAGGAGCCUUCUCUAGUACGAGAGGACCGAGAAGGACAUACCUCUGGUGUACCAGUUAUCGUGCCAACGGUAAACGCUGGGUAGCUAUGUAUGGAGAGGAUAACCGCUGAAAGCAUCUAAGUGGGAAGCCCACCUCAAGAU